CCCUGAACCGUGCAAAGGUAGCAUAAUCAUUUGCCCUAUAAUUGAGGGCUAGUAUGAAUGGUUUGACAAGAGCAAUACUGUCUCCAUAAAAAUUAAUAGAAAUUAUUCUUUAGGUGAAGGAACCUAAAUAAAAUUAAAAGACAAGAAGACCCUAUCGAGCUUAAAAUCCAUUCAUACGAUAAAGAAAAUCAAUUGAUAUUUCUAAUUAUGGAAAAUUUUGGUUGGGGCGACUAAGGAACAGAAAAAGCUUCUUUUAAAAUUAAAAAUUUAUAAAUAAUGAUCCAUUAUUUAAUGAUUAGAAGAAUUAGUUACCGUAGGGAUAACAGCAUAAUCCUUUUUGAGAGUUCCUAUCGAAAAAAGGGUUUGUGACCUCGAUGUUGGACUAGAAUUCCUGA
rnacentral:rRNA from 1 species